rnacentral:rRNA from 1 species
UACGUAGGGCGCAAGCGUUAUCCGGAAUUAUUGGGCGUAAAGAGCUCGUAGGCGGUUUGUCGCGUCUGCCGUGAAAGUCCGGGGCUCAACUCCGGAUCUGCGGUGGGUACGGGCAGACUAGAGUGAUGUAGGGGAGACUGGAAUUCCUGGUGUAGCGGUGAAAUGCGUAGAUAUCUGGAGGAACACCGGUGGCGAAGGCGGCAUCCUGGGUCGGUAUUGACGCUGAGGAGCGAAAGCCAGGGGAGCAAACGGG